ACUCCAAAAACUUCUCUGGAUACAUAAAAGUUAAAACAUGAUUCAGUAAUAUUAUAAUAUUAACAGCUUACCUCUUUUCAGCAGAGGGUUGCUCUCCUUUAAAGUCAAUAAAGCGUCCCUGUGACCGGUCGCUCUUAAAGGACACACAGCUGGGUUCAGGUUCAGGUUCAGGUUCAGGUUCAGGUCCAGGAGACUCUGGUCUCUUCUGGGUCCUGAUAGAAAAACACAUUUAUUCAGGGUCACAUGCUCAGUUAAAGUCUCCGUGCAUAAAAUAUAAUAUUAAUAUGAAUAUGUCUGUAGGCCUAAUUAUUAACAAUUAAAUGCCAAUAAUGCUUUACUUUCUGUCCAAAACUCUAUGAAAAUAUCUUUUGAAAUCAGAAU